rnacentral:rRNA from 1 species
CACGUAGGGGGCAAGCGUUGUCCGGAUUUAUUGGGCGUAAAGAGCUCGUAGGUGGCUUAGUAAGUCGGGUGUGAAACCUCCAGGCUCAACCUGGAGACGCCACCCGAUACUGCUAUAGCUUGAGUCCGGUAGGGGAGCGUGGAAUUCCUGGUGUAGCGGUGAAAUGCGCAGAUAUCAGGAGGAACACCAGCGGCGAAGGCGGCGCUCUGGGCCGGUACUGACACUGAGGAGCGAAAGCGUGGGGAGCAAACA